AACACUGUUAACCUGCGGUACCUGCGGAGGGAUCAUUACAGAGUUGCAAAACUCCCUAAACCAUUGUGAACGUUACCUAAACCGUUGCUUCGGCGGGCGGCCCGGGUCCUUCCCGGCGCCCCUCGGCCCUCGCGGGCGCCCGCCGGAGGUAAACCAAACUAUUGCAUUGUAUGGCCUCUCUGAGUCUUCUGUACUGAAUAAGUCAAAACUUUUAGCAACGGAUCUCAGAUCGGAAGAGCA
rnacentral:misc_RNA from 1 species